rnacentral:rRNA from 1 species
GACGAACGCUGGCGGCGUGCUUAACACAUGCAAGUCGAACGAAGAGCGAUGGAAGCUUGCUUCUAUCAAUCUUAGUGGCGAACGGGUGAGUAACGCGUAAUCAACCUGCCCUUCAGAGGGGGACAACAGUUGGAAACGACUGCUAAUACCGCAUACGAUCUAAUCUCGGCAUCGAGGAUAGAUGAAAGGUGGCCUCUACAUGUAAGCUCUCACUGAAGGAGGGGAUUGCGUCUGAUUAGCUAGUUGGAGGGGUAACGUCCCACCAAGGCGAUGAUCAGUAGCCGGUCUUAGAGGAUGAACGGCCACAUUGGGACUGAGACACGGCCCAGACUCCUACGGGAGGCAGCAGUGGGGAAUCUUCCGCAAUGGACGAGAGUCUGACGGAGCAACGCCGCGUGAGUGAUGACGGCCUUCGGGUUGUAAAGCUCUGUUAAUCGGGACGAAAGGCCUUCUUGCGAAUAGUGAGAAGGAUUGACGGUACCGGAAUAGAAAGCCACGGCUAACUACGUG